rnacentral:piRNA from 1 species
UGGGCUUGUCAAGACCGUUCUGUCUUU